rnacentral:rRNA from 1 species
GGGAAUAUACCCUUCAGUACGGAAUAACUCAGGGAAACUUGUGCUAAUACCGUAUACGCCCUUUUGGGGAAAGAUUUAUCGCUGAAGGAUUAGCCCGCGUCUGAUUAGCUAGUUGGUGGGGUAAUGGCCUACCAAGGCGACGAUCAGUAGCUGGUCUGAGAGGAUGAUCAGCCACACUGGGACUGAGACACGGCCCAGACUCCUACGGGAGGCAGCAGUGGGGAAUAUUGGACAAUGGGCGCAAGCCUGAUCCAGCCAUGCCGCGUGAGUGAUGAAGGCCUUAGGGUUGUAAAGCUCUUUCGUUGGGGAAGAUAAUGACGGUACCCAAAGAAGAAGCCCCGGCUAACUUCGUGCCAGCAGCCGCGGUAAUACGAAGGGGGCUAGCGUUGUUCGGAAUUACUGGGCGUAAAGCGCACGUAGGCGGACUGUUUAGUUGGGGGUGAAAGCCCAGGGCUCAACCCUGGAAUUGCCUCCAAUACUGGCAGUCUCGAGUCCGAGAGAGGUGAGUGGAACUCCGAGU